CAUCAACUGGAAAAUGGCUUUCACUCCAAAACCCAAUGUGAACCAUACCAAACUGUUGCCUCGGCGGGGUCACGCCCCGGGUGCGUCCCAGCCCCGGAACCAGGCGCCCGCCGGAGGGACCAACCAAACUCUUUCUGUAGUCCCCUCGCGGACGUUAUUUCUUACAGCUCUGAGCAAAAAUUCAAAAUGAAUCAAAACUUUCAACAACGGAUCUCUUGGUUCUGGCAUCGAUGAAGAACGCAGCGAAAUGCGAUAAGUAAUGUGAAUUGCAGAAUUCAGUGAAUCAUCGAAUCUUUGAACGCACAUUGCGCCCGCCAGUAUUCUGGCGGGCAUGCCUGUCCGAGCGUCAUUUCAACCCUCGAACCCCUCCGGGGGUCCGGCGUUGGGGAUCGGGAACCCCUAAGACGGGAUCCCGGCCCCGAAAUACAGUGGCGGUCUCGCCGCAGCCUCUCAUGCGCAGUAGUUUGCACAACUCGCACCGGGAGCGCGGCGCGUCCACGUCCGUAAAACACCCAACUUCUGAAAUGUUGACCUCGGAUCAGGUAGGAAUACCCGCUGAACUUAAGCAUAUCAAUAAGCGGAGGAA
rnacentral:rRNA from 1 species